GACGAACGCUGGCGGCGUGCUUAACACAUGCAAGUCGAACGAUGAAGCGGUGCUUGCACCGUGGAUUAGUGGCGAACGGGUGAGUAAUACGUGAGUGACCUACCUUUGACUCUGGGAUAAGCCUGGGAAACUGGGUCUAAUACCGGAUACGGCCAAUCUCUGCAUGGGGUGUUGGUGGAAAGCGUUAUGGAGUGGUUUUAGAUGGGCUCACGGCCUAUCAGCUUGUUGGUGAGGUAAUGGCUUACCAAGGCGACGACGGGUAGCCGGCCUGAGAGGGUGACCGGCCACACUGGGACUGAGACACGGCCCAGACUCCUACGGGAGGCAGCAGUGGGGAAUAUUGCACAAUGGGCGCAAGCCUGAUGCAGCGACGCCGCGUGAGGGAUGACGGCCUUCGGGUUGUAAACCUCUGUUAGCAUCGAAGAAGCGAAAGUGACGGUAGGUGCAGAGAAAGCGCCGGCUAACUACGUG
rnacentral:rRNA from 1 species